GAUCUGGGCAUGAGUAACUGUAAAGCCAGAUCAGGUUGCUCAAGCUCUUCUCCAAUUGAGUUUUGAAACUCUCCAUUUUGGAGUCUGGAAGCUGGAGGUUGCGGAGGAGUUUGCCAUGGCCAUCUACAAUGAAUCCAAGAACAAAAGGCUGUUCUUCCUGCCUGACUGUUUGAGCAACCUGUCACUAUUCAUCAGCAGGCUCUAACGUACACCAAAGUGGAAAAGAAGACGACAUGCCACCGAGGUGGUCAUUCCUUUUUCAAUUCAGUGCAUUUUGUACUGAACCAGGAAGAUAGAUGCACGAGGAGGCCUCCCAGCUGGGCUGGAGUUCUUGGGGCAUAACAGCUUCUGAAACCAUUCUUCCCAUCAGCUUUCCUCCUCCUCAGUCACUUCCUUGAAUAGUCGUUGAUGUAUGGCUACUGAAGAAGGAGAGAGGUUUUCUACCUGAGAAGCAGUUUUAAGCAGAUUUGGGGUGCUGCUCUAAGCAGUUCUGUUUGACCAAUGUUGGCAGAGACAGCAAGAAGCUCCCAACCAGGUCAAAGAAGUGAUGCCAGCCUCAAACAAGUCAUCUGAGGUUAACAAAAAUAAUUCCAGGAUAGCUACAGAAUGCAACUGAAACUGUUUUAAAAUAGAAGUCAAAGUGAUAAUAUUUCAAAGUGGAUCUCAGUUCCGUUGCAGUCCUGUUAACUUCCAUUAGGUUUUGGCCAAGCUUUUGCUGCAGACCAUAGCACCCAGCAGAUAGCUCUGAGGAACUCUUACCAGCAAGACAAAAGGUAGUGAAUGUUUGUUUUGGGGAAGGAAAAAGUCCAGCUAGAAAACUGAUAAAGCAAAAUAGUCUCAUGGAAACAGAACACACCGGGAUAUCAAAAGCAAUUAAAACAAACUUCUGUAAUCACGACUGUAAGCCAUUUGCCAAAGCUAAUAAAAGCAAGAGCAGAGUUAUCUGUUUAGAUCUGUGUGUUAGGCCAGUGUCACUGAUAACACCCAGCUGGAGGAAGAACAAAAUGAUGGAGCUGAGACUCUGAAGAGAAACCAUAGCCCCAUCCAUCUGGGCCAGGAGUCGUGGCAGGAUUCAGCCUUCCCUGAUGCCUGAGAAGUGUCGGCACAAGCUGAACCCAAAGCCUGAGUGAUGUUUUUCUUGCCACCCUGUGUUAACGUCUCCUUCAAGACAAGUUCAGUCAUAUUCUCAGGAACAGUUGUGCAGAGAGAGCACUGAAAGCCUGAGGGACAUUUCGGUAGCAAGCUACCCUUGGACUGGGACCGUCCUUGUGGUAUGGCACCAGGACUUUCUCAGGAGCUGACGAGUCCCAGAAGACCCUCACCUGCUUUCCCAGAGACCUGCCUAAAUUCAGAACCUCACUGCAGUCAGCAUUUCCUUUAAGACUUUCCCAGUUGUUGCUGAUUUGUUGCAAGAGUGUUUGUGUGCAGAUGCUCAGUUUGUUGUGCUAUGGCCAGCCCUCUCCUCCUGCCAUUCCUCCCACAAGGACGCACCAGCAGGUUUUGUGGUGAUGAAGCUUGGUGCCACCUGCGGAGCAGAUUGUGCAGCAUCUCUAAUUUAAUCAGGCAAAGGCAGGAAUCUGGCUAAGAAAAGAGAAAUUUUUGUUUCCACUCAAAUCCUUUGGGAAGCUGAGAUGAUGGAUGGAGAAAAAUGUCAGUGGGAUGUUAAGAAAAUACAGAUUUCAAAGUUUGCCAGUGUGUGGCAGUGGUCCUUUAGUAACUGCAGUCACAUGAAGCAAAACACUGUUAAGUUUCACUCUUCCCUGUGGAGGCCGACUUGGAAGAGGAGCCAGACAGCUGCUCAUUGGGCAUGCACAGGAUUCAAAACACUCUUUGAGACACCAAUUAAAUACAAACACGUUUAAAAAAAAAAAUCGCUGCAAGAUCCACAGUAGCUUGACCUGAGGUGCGACAGAAAUGAAUUGCUAAUAAAACGUGCCAAGGAGGAGCAGUUUAAAGGAUGCCUUUAACGCUUUUCACAAUAAAAUAGUUUUCACAAGCAGCUUAUAUAUCUCCCAGCCUCCCUUGGAUGUGUUGCUGCUGAGUGAUUCUGGAGUCAUUAAUGGAUUGCAAACUCCCUCCACCACCACCCCGCACUCUGCAACUAACUUCGGAUAGUUAACAGCUUAGUACCUUUCCAGAAAGAUAACCUU